rnacentral:rRNA from 1 species
AUGGCGGAUACAUACCCAUACCGAGCAGGGGAGGGGAAGCAGAUCGGGACCGGGAUGCUGGAUCGGGCCAAGAGGUCGCCGCCGCCGGCAGCCGCCGAGAGGAGCGCCAAGAAGCCCUGCUGCCACCGCGACCCAAGCGGCGGCGGCGUGCCGGAGAUCUCCUCCCUCCUCUCCUCGCUCUCCGUCGCCAAGCGCCACUCCCCGGCCGCCCACGACCACGCCCCCCUCAACAAGCGGCCCCGUUACGACCACCACCAUGACCUCGACGCCCGGAUGCGAGGACUGGAGAUCAGCUGCGAGACGACGGACAUGGAGCAGGAGCAGGGGCCGGACUGGGCGGGCUUCCUGCCGGAGCUGCUGGCCCUCGUCUGCGGCCGGCUCCCUCUCGCCGACGUGCCCCGGUUCGGCGCCGUCUGCAGGCACUGGCGGUCGUGCGCGUUCCCGGUGUACCCGGCUGACGCCGCGCCCGUGCUGCUCAGCGCCACGCUCACCGCCGCCGGCGCCGUCCGCUGCUACAGCCCCCACCUGCACAAGACGUUCGUCCUCGCCGCGCCUCCCCUGCCCGAGGGCGGCAGGGUCUUCUCGGCGGGCGCCGGCGGGUGGGUCAUGGUCAAGACGCCGGGCAGGACCGUCGUGUUCGCCAACCUCCUGGACGGGUCCGUGCACGAGACGCCCGAGCGGGAGGGCGACGAUCGGGGGUUCAUGAGCUGCGCGCCGCGCCGCCACGACGGCGUUGACAAUGGCCGCAACAACAACACCGGCAACCCUCCCAACGACUGCUGCUUCGACGUGUUCGCCGUCUUCUCCGGUAUGGUUACCGUCAGGGUCGAGAGCUGGGGAGGCGGCGGCGGCGGCUGGAAGAGCGUGGAGGAGCAGAGCGAGUUCAGAAUGUCCUGCUGCUGCAGCCCGGUGAUGCACAAGGGGAUGCUCUACUGCCUUGGACAGGAGGGCGCUCUAGGGGUCUACGAUCCCGGCGAGGCGACGUGGAGCGUGCUCCCCAAGCCCGCCGGCUUCGGCCCGGAGCUCGCCUACAAGAAUUGCCACCUCGUCGGCUCGCGCUCGGAGCUGCUCGCCGUCCUGACGGGCAGCAACGGAGCUCGGCCCAUCUACGUGCUGAGGCUCGACGAGGCCAAGAUGGCAUGGAAGAGGGUCAAGUCAUUGGACGGCCAGUCCCUUUUCACCGGAACAACAUCGUCGGUGGCGGUGGCAAAGCCGGUCGUCGAAUCCAUGGCGGACAAGGUGUACCUUCCCAGGCUCUAUGGCCGGCCGCAGGUGAUCCAGGCGGAGCUCGCCGCCUCCGACGGCCGCCUCUUCUUCGUCGCCAAGGCGGCAGAGCAGGAGCAACAGGGACCGGUUAUGGCGUUGGGCGGUGGGGAUCACGGCGGCCCCUGGUGCUACGACAUGGAGUCGGACUCCGGCGGGCAAUUCCUGGGCUCCAAGGCCCUGCUGCAGUCCUUUUGGGUUCAUCUCGGCCACGCCGCGCCGCCCUCGCCCUCGCCCUCGCCGGAUGAGGAUGAGGAUGAGGAUGAGGAUGAGGAUGAUGAUGGAAUGGUUAUAGACUGA